GCAAGCUAAACCAGAUGCAAUUUUACAGUGCAGAAGGGAUGUGGGGGUUUUGUUAAAUCUUUAGCAGUAGAAGCAUCCAUUUGAGCAACAAGGACUCUCCGAAAGUAUCACGGUGUGCACCCAAACAAUCUGACACAGAUCCCACAGGAACGCAGGGCAGACCGCUGAGGCAGAAUCCUCUCUCCAUUUAGCACAUCAAACGCCACUACGGCAUAUCGUUCUCUGGAGCAGAGGGCUGUGUGCAGGCCACCUGGGAAAGAGAGAGCAAUGAUACUGAAGACGGCAAAGUGGAUGUAGAGUGACAUGGAAAACUCCCCGUCCUCCCCCACCAAUUAUGGUGCAGCCUGAGAUGCCUCCUAUCCUCAGGGUUAGUAGAGUUGGCACGAUUGAAGGAGCAUUUCUUGGUCCUACUGCGACUGAAUGGGGAAGCAAGUAGGUGACUAAUCCUCUUUUGGCCCCAUGUUUGGACUGUGAAGGCAAAUGAGUUUGGUUGCUGCUGCCAGAUCACAUAGGCACAGCAGAUACCUCUUGCAGCACAUCCCCCCUCUUGAGACAGGGUUGUUCCCCACUCUAGGGGAACUGCUAACAUUUAGCUGCUUGGUUCUGCAGAGAAAGGCAGAGCUGCCAACAUGAUUCCUACGCCUCCUAAAGUCUGCAUGUGAAGUUGGAAAAUCAGCUCCACAAUCCUUGAUGCUAAAAGGACAGGAGGACUUGUGGCACCUUAGAGACUAACCAAUUUAUUUGAGCAUAAGCUUUCAUGAGCUACAGCUCACUUCAUCGGAUGCUGUAACACUCAAGAAAUAGAGACAUCGAAAGCACCAAGGUUGCAUGUAUGAUGCUUCCAGGCCAGAUGCCAGCUCUUGCCCAGGCUGCAGGCAUUAGCUGGAACGGACAAACUUGUAGCUGCAGACCAGACCAGUUGUAUCUUAGUUUGG